rnacentral:rRNA from 1 species
UACGUAGGGUGCUAGCGUUGUCCGGAUUUAUUGGGCGUAAAGGGCUCGUAGGCGGCGUGUCGCGUCGGGAGUGAAAGCCCGCUGCUUAACGGCGGGUUGGCUUCCGGUACGGGCAUCGCUGGAGUGCGGCAGGGGAGACUGGAAUUCCUGGUGUAGCAGUGAAAUGCGUAGAGAUCAGGAGGAAUACCGAUGGCGAAGGCAGGUCUCUGGGCUGAUACUGACGCUCAUGCACGAAAGCGUGGGGAGCAAACAGG